GAUGAACGCUGGCGGCGUGCCUAACACAUGCAAGUCGAGCGAACGGACGCGGCGUUUGCUUGUCUGAUGUUAGCGGAGGACGGGUGAGUCACACGUGGAUACCCUACUUAUCAGUCUGGGAUAUUUACGGGAAACCGGAGCUUACCUCGGAUAAUAUUUUGAACCGCGUGGUUCAUAGGUAAGAGACGGUCUUGCUGUCUCUUCUAGAUGGUUCCGCGCUGCUUUGGCUAGUUGGUACGGUCACGGCCUUCCACGGCGACGAUGCAUAGCCGACCUGUGAGAGUGGUAGGCCACACUGGAACGGGGACACGGUCCAGGCUCCUGCGGGAGGCAGCAGUAGGGAAUCGGCGGCAGUAGGCGAAAGCCUGACGGAGCAACGCCGCGUGUGUGAUGGAGGUCUUCGGAUCGUAAAGCUCUGUUAUUAGGGAAGAACAGAUGUGUAAGUAAAUGUGGACAUCUUGACGGUACCGAAUCAGAAAGCCACGGCUAACUACGUG
rnacentral:rRNA from 1 species